AGUUAAAAAGCUCGUAGUUGGAUUUCUGCGGGGGCGGGGCGGCCGACAACAACUCGUUGUUCGAGCUAGCACUUCCCCUGCAUCCUGCCGCGAACCGUGCUACCAUUAGUUUGGUGGCGCUGGGGAUCGGCUCGUUUACUUUGAGAAAAAUAGAGUGUUCAAAGCAGGCCACACGCCUUGAAUAAGUUAGCAUGGAAUAAUGAUAAAGGACUUCGGUUCUAUUUUGUUGGUGUUCGGGACUGAAGUAAUGAUUGAUAGGGACAGUUGGGGCGGUCUGUAUUCCAAAGCGAGAGGUGAAAUUCUUAGACCUUCGGAAGACAAACAGCUGCGAAAGCGUUCCGCAAGGAUGUUCCCUUUGAUCAAGAACGAAAGUUGGGGGAUCGAAGACGAUCAGAUACCGUCGUAGUCUCAACUAUAAACUAUACCAGCUAGGGAUCGGCCAACGUUAUUCUAUACCGACUUGGUCGGCACCUUAUGAGAAAUCAAAGCAUCUGGGUUCCGGGGGGAGUAUGGUCGCAAGGCUGAAACUUAAAGGAAUUGACGGAAGGGCACCACCAGCCGUGGAGCCUGUGGGCUUAAUUUGACUCAACACGGGAAAAACUUACCA
rnacentral:rRNA from 1 species